GCCUGCGGAAGGAUCAUUACAGUAUUCUUUUUGCCAGCGCUUAAUUGCGCGGCGAAAAAACCUUACACACAGUGUUUUUUGUUAUUACAAGAACUCUUGCUUUGGUCUGGACUAGAAAUAGUUUGGGCCAGAGGUUUACUAAACUAAACUUCAAUAUUUAUAUUGAAUUGUUAUUUAUUUUAAUUGUCAAUUUGUUGAUUAAAUUCAAAAAAUCUUCAAAACUUUCAACAACGGAUCUCUUGGUUCUCGCAUCGAUGAAGAACGCAGCGAAAUGCGAUAAGUAAUAUGAAUUGCAGAUUUUCGUGAAUCAUCGAAUCUUUGAACGCACAUUGCGCCCUUUGGUAUUCCAAAGGGCAUGCCUGUUUGAGCGUCAUUUCUCUCUCAAACCUUCGGGUUUGGUAUUGAGUGAUACUCUUAGUCGAACUAGGCGUUUGCUUGAAAUGUAUUGGCAUGAGUGGUACUGGAUAGUGCUAUAUGACUUUCAAUGUAUUAGGUUUAUCCAACUCGUUGAAUAGUUUAAUGGUAUAUUUCUCGGUAUUCUAGGCUCGGCCUUACAAUAUAACAAACAAGUUUGACCUCAAAUCAGGUAGGACUACCCGCUGAACUUAAGCAUAUCAAAA
rnacentral:rRNA from 1 species